rnacentral:rRNA from 1 species
GGGUUGUGAGGUUAAGCGAAUAAGCGUACACGGUGGAUGCCUAGGCAAUCAGAGGCGAUGAAGGACGUGCUAAUCUGCGAAAAGCGUCGGUAAGGUGAUAUGAACCGCUAUACCCGACGAUAUCCGAAUGGGGAAACCCAGUAUCCAAUGGAUACUAUCAUUAACUGAAUCCAUAGGUUAAUGAGGCGAACCGGGAGAACUGAAACAUCUCAGUACCCGAGGAAAAGAAAUCAACCGAGAUUCCCCUAGUAGCGGCGAGCGAACGGGGAGCAGCCCAGAGUCUUAAUCAAUAGCAGUGUCAGGAGAACGGUCUGGAAAGUCCGGCAGUAAAGGGUGAUAGCCCCGUAUCUGAAGAUGCUGUUAUUGUGAACUCGACGAGUAGGGCGGGACACGUGUUAUCCUGUCUGAAUAUGGGGGGACCAUCCUCCAAGGCUAAAUACUCCUGAUUGACCGAUAGUGAACCAGUACCGUGAGGGAAAGGCGAAAAGAACCCCGGCGAGGGGAGUGAAAAAGAACCUGAAACCGUGUACGUACAAGCAGUAGGAGCCUCUUUAUGGGGUGACUGCGUACCUUUUGUAUAAUGGGUCAGCGACUUAUAUUCUGUAGCAAGGUUAACCGUAUAGGGGAGCCGUAGGGAAACCGAGUCUUAACUGGGCGAAUGAGUUGCAGGGUAUAGACCCGAAACCCGGUGAUCUAUCCAUGGGCAGGUUGAAGGUUGGGUAACACUAACUGGAGGACCGAACCGACUAAUGUUGAAAAAUUAGCGGAUGACUUGUGGAUGGGGGUGAAAGGCCAAUCAAACCGGGAGAUAGCUGGUUCUCCCCGAAAGCUAUUUAGGUAGCGCCUCGUGAACUCAUCUUCGGGGGUAGAGCACUGUUUCGACUAGGGGGUCAUCCCGACUUACCAACUCGAUGCAAACUGCGAAUACCGAAGAAUGUUAUCACGGGAGACACACGGCGGGUGCUAACGUCCGUCGUGAAGAGGGAAACAACCCAGACCGCCAGCUAAGGUCCCAAAGUCAUGGUUAAGUGGGAAACGAAGUGGGAAGGCUCAGACAGCCAGGAUGUUGGCUUAGAAGCAGCCAUCAUUUAAAGAAAGCGUAAUAGCUCACUGGUCGAGUCGGCCCGCGCGGAAGAUGUAACGGGGCUAAACCAUGCACCGAAGCUGCGGCAGCGACACAAAGUGUUGUUGGGUAGGGGAGCGUUCUGUAAGCCUGCGAAGGUGUACUGUGAGGUAUGCUGGAGGUAUCAGAAGUGCGAAUGCUGACAUAAGUAACGAUAAUGCGGGUGAAAAACCCGCACGCCGGAAGACCAAGGGUUCCUGUCCAACGUUAAUCGGGGCAGGGUGAGUCGACCCCUAAGGCGAGGCUGAAAAGCGUAGUCGAUGGGAAACGGGUUAAUAUUCCCGUACUGGUGGUAACUGCGAUGGGGGAACGGAGAAGGCUAGGUUGUCCGGGCGACGGUCGUCCCGGUUCAAGCAGGUAGGCAGAGUGAUUAGGCAAAUCCGGUCACUUAAUGCUGAGAUGUGAUGACGAACCACCAAGGUGGUGAAGCAAUUGAUGCCCCGCUUCCAGGAAAAGCCUCUAAGCUUCAGGUUACCAACAAUCGUACCCCAAACCGACACAGGUGGUCAGGUAGAGAAUACUCAGGCGCUUGAGAGAACUCGGGUGAAGGAACUAGGCAAAAUGGUGCCGUAACUUCGGGAGAAGGCACGCUGGCGGUAGGUAAAGUCCCUCGCGGACGGCGCCCAAGCCAGUCGAAGAUACCAGCUGGCUGCAACUGUUUAUUAAAAACACAGCACUGUGCAAACACGAAAGUGGACGUAUACGGUGUGACGCCUGCCCGGUGCUGGAAGGUUAAUUGAUGGGGUUAGCGUAAGCGAAGCUCCUGAUCGAAGCCCCAGUAAACGGCGGCCGUAACUAUAACGGUCCUAAGGUAGCGAAAUUCCUUGUCGGGUAAGUUCCGACCUGCACGAAUGGCGUAAUGAUGGCCAGGCUGUCUCCACCCGAGACUCAGUGAAAUUGAACUCGCUGUGAAGAUGCAGUGUACCCGCGGCAAGACGGAAAGACCCCGUGAACCUUUACUAUAGCUUGACACUGAACAUUGAGCCUUGAUGUGUAGGAUAGGUGGGAGGCUUUGAAGUGUGGACGCCAGUCUGCAUGGAGCCAACCUUGAAAUACCACCCUUUAACGUUUGAUGUUCUAACCUAGGCCCAUAAACUGGGUCGGGGACCGUGUCUGGUGGGUAGUUUGACUGGGGCGGUCUCCUCCUAAAGAGUAACGGAGGAGCACGAAGGUUGGCUAAGCAUGGUCGGACAUCAUGCGGUUAGUGCAAAGGCAUAAGCCAGCUUGACUGCGAGAGUGACGGCUCGAGCAGGUACGAAAGUAGGUCUUAGUGAUCCGGUGGUUCUGAAUGGAAGGGCCAUCGCUCAACGGAUAAAAGGUACUCCGGGGAUAACAGGCUGAUACCGCCCAAGAGUUCAUAUCGACGGCGGUGUUUGGCACCUCGAUGUCGGCUCAUCACAUCCUGGGGCUGAAGUAGGUCCCAAGGGUAUGGCUGUUCGCCAUUUAAAGUGGUACGCGAGCUGGGUUUAGAACGUCGUGAGACAGUUCGGUCCCUAUCUGCCGUGGGCGUUGGAAGAUUGAGAGGGGUUGCUCCUAGUACGAGAGGACCGGAGUGAACGCACCACUGGUGUUCGGGUUGUCAUGCCAAUGGCAUUGCCCGGUAGCUAAGUGCGGAAGAGAUAACCGCUGAAAGCAUCUAAGCGGGAAACUUGCCUCGAGAUGAGUCUUCCCUGUCGCUUUAAGCGACCUAAAGGAACGUUUAAGACUAAGACGUUGAUAGGCUGGGUGUGUAAGCGUAGCGAUACGUUGAGCUAACCAGUACUAAUGAACCGUGAGGCUUAACCUGACAACACCGAAAGUGUUUUG